CAUGUAGCAGCGCGGCAUCGUGCGGCCGUAUCGAUCUCUGCUGUUGCAGGUCCCGGAAUGCACCGGCAGGUGGUUGAGUGAUGGCGGAGGAUAGGUGAUAGCAACAAGUAGCAGCAGCAGCACACGCCGGCUUAGCCAACAGCGACUCACCACUCCCUGGUUGCAAGUGCUGGCGUCGUGACGUUGGCAGCGGGGUGGCGACGCUCACGCAUGCGCCAGAAAGCGCGUGGGAUCGAUCCGGACCGACACCUGUUACCGAACCACCGACGCUCGCCUGUCUCUUUUCAUGGGAGCAGGGCGCUCGCUCCGAGAGGAUGCAGUCGGUGCAUGGGCAUAGGGGACAGGACAUACAAAAAGGAUGCAAAUUGAUUUUUACUUAACUAGCAGUUUUCAGCUGGAAAAAAUGCCAAAAACGUGCUCAAAACCUAUAAAAUUUUGCAUAAUUCUUUAUUUUUUUGGGCAAAUAAAUACUUAUUUAUUUUA